rnacentral:rRNA from 1 species
UACGGAGGGUGCGAGCGUUGUCCGGAAUCAUUGGGCGUAAAGGGCGCGUAGGUGGCGGGACAAGCGUGCGGUGAAAGCCUGGGGCUCAACCCCGGGUCGGCCGUCGAUACUCUCGUGCUUGAGCACUGUAGAGGCAGGUGGAAUUCCGGGUGUAGCGGUGGAAUGCGUAGAGAUCCGGAAGAACACCGGUGGCGAAGGCGGCCUGCUGGGCAGUAGCUGACACUGAGGCGCGACAGCGUGGGGAGCAAACAGG